AUUUUUUAAAAUUCCUGGCGUUUAACUGGUAAAAGUGAAAACAGGGAAUUAUUCCCUAAUCAAGCACGCAGUAUUCCUGCUAUACUUGCGGUCUAUACAUAAACUUUCUUUAUCAGGUUUUCAAAUGUAUGGAAGGUGGGCAUUGUACUUUAUAAUACUCCUACUUCACGAGUUUUAAAAGAUUUUAAGAGCAUUUCGCCAUAUUGUGAACAGAUUUAUAAUAAUAACUUAAACCCAGCUUCAACAGUUAAUAUGAGUCGAUCAAGUUCUCUGAAUGAUUUAUCAUGUGCCCCAUACUUAACAUGUCCGUUGAAUGCUGAACGAUUAACCGAAUUAUUAUCAACACCUCUUGAAGUUGCAACCACUUCUAAACGUAUCUGUGAAAAAUCUGAAUCAGAAACAUUUUUAGAUAAUUCAGAGUUUAUAGAAGGCAAACAAACGAUUGUAAAUCAAGAAGAAAAUUUGAUUAAUAAAAAUAUGUUUAGUAACAAAACUUGUGAAAAAAAUUCAGAGGUAUCACAAAUUGUCAAUGAGCCUGUCACUUUGACUAGUGCCCUAUCUGAUCAUAGAUAUUCGCAGAUUAUAGCGACCAGAUGUCUUCUUACUAUUCCUCUUUAAAAAGAGGCAUAAAAUGGUUCCGCAAAGUGAUGAUGGAAUUAUUGUUUGGUGCAGCUUUGGUGAAUAGUUGGGUGGUUUUUAAUAUGGGAAAGGAGACUAAAAUGCCAAAGAAGGAUUAUCUUGAAUCGGUGAUUGAAGGAUUUACAAAACAACCGAUAUCUACUGGUGGCACAGGAUACUCUCAAAGUCUUAAACUAAAAAAAGAAUCAUAUCUUUGAAAAAAUGGAUUCUUUACGAAGAAAAUGUGUAGGUUGCUACCAGAAACUACGUUCUACCUUAAACAGCAAAGAUGCCAAUAGAAAAGCCAAAAAAUAAAAUCAUUCUGUGCUGAUUGCAAUAGGCCAAUGUGCCUAAAAUUUUUUUUUAUGAAAGUCACAUGUAACCUAACUGAAACUCUCAAAGUCUUAAACAAAAACAAUCAUACCUUUGGAAAAAAAGGGUUCUUUACGAAGAGGUUGCUACCAUAAACUACGUUCUACACUAAACAGUAAAGAUGCCCCUAAAAAAAUGAAAAAAAUUCAAUCAUGCUUGAAAUUUAUGUCAUUUUGUUUUACCUAAAAUGUUUUUUUUAUACUCACGUGUAACCUUUUUCAAUACUUUUUUUAAUAAAUUUAUUAAGUAUACGGAUUUUAUCGAUUC